rnacentral:rRNA from 1 species
UGCAGUCGAACGGUACAGGUCUUCGGAUGCUGACGAGUGGCGAACGGGUGAGUAAUACAUCGGAACGUGCCCAAUCGUGGGGGAUAACGCAGCGAAAGCUGUGCUAAUACCGCAUACGAUCUAAGGAUGAAAGCGGGAGAUCUUCGGACCUCGCGCGAAUGGAGCGGCCGAUGGCAGAUUAGGUAGUUGGUAGGGUAAAAGCCUACCAAGCCGACGAUCUGUAGCUGGUCUGAGAGGACGACCAGCCACACUGGGACUGGGACACGGCCCAGACUCCUACGGGAGGCAGCAGUGGGGAAUUUUAGACAGUGGGCGCAAGCCUGAUCCAGCAAUGCCGCGUGCAGGAUGAAGGCCUUCGGGUUGUAAACUGCUUUUGUACGGAGCGAAAAGGUCUCUUCUAAUACAGGAGGCCCAUGACGGUACCGUAAGAAUAAGCACCGGCUAACUACGUGCCAGCAGCCGCGGUAAAUACGUUAGGGGUGCAAGCGUUAAUUCGGAAUUACUGGGCGUAAAGCGUGCGCAGGCGGUGUUGUAAGACAGAGGUGAAAUUCCCCGGGCUUCAACCUGGGAACUGCCUUUUGUGACCGCAACGCUAGAGUACGGCCAGAGGGGGAUGGAAUUCCGCGUGUAGCAGUGAAAUGCGUAGAUAUGCGGAGGAACACCGAUGGCGAAGGCAAUCCCCUGGGCCUGUACUGACGCUCAUGCACGAAAGCGUGGGGAGCAAACAGGAUUAGAUACCCUGGUAGUCCACGCCCUAAACGAUGUCAACUGGUUGUUGGGUCUUCACUGACUCAGUAACGAAGCUAACGCGUGAAGUUGACCGCCUGGGGAGUACGGCCGCAAGGUUAAAACUCAAAGGAAUUGACGGGGGACCCGCACAAGCGGUGGAUGAUGUGGUUUUAAUUCGAUGCAACGCGAAAAACCUUACCCACCUUUGACAUGGCAGAAAUCCUUUAGAGAUAGAGGAGUGCUCGAAAGAGAAUCUGCACACAGGUGCUGCAUGGCUGUCGUCAGCUCGUGUCGUGAGAUGUUGGGUUAAGUCCCGCAACGAGCGCAACCCUUGCCAUUAGUUGCUACAUUUAGUUGGGCACUCUAAUGGGACUGCCGGUGACAAACCGGAGGAAGGUGGGGAUGACGUCAAGUCCUCAUGGCCCUUAUAGGUGGGGCUACACACGUCAUACAAUGGCUGGUACAAAGGGUUGCCAGCCCGCGAGGGGGAGCUAAUCCCAUAAAGCCAGUCGUAGUCCGGAUCGCAGUCUGCAACUCGACUGCGUGAAGUCGGAAU